ACGGCAGCUCUCUAAGCGUAUUUUCAAGGGGAGAACCUGGGCUUGCGGUGGUCGGAGGAAGAGGACGAUUCAUGAUGACAACAGGGGUUGCACUAUUUAACCCUAUCCUUAUAAAUGCCACCACUGUCAUUAUUGAAUUAAACGUUACUGUAAUUCAUUACUAAGGUGCUAUUUACAGACGCAGUUCUCAUCGAAUGUGAAAAUUAAAAUUCUCAUACUUCAUCAUCGUACUUUAUUAUUAUAUUAGAAAUAAAGAUCCAUGGUUGAGCUAUUUGAAUAUAAAUAUUUUUCAAUUGAUGUAAAUUUUUUUGAAUAUAUAACAUAUAAUUUACAACAAUAAAAUUAAAAUUUAAACAAUAAAAUAAAUAUGUAAAAAAAAUCGAUAAAUUCGAAAUGGUACACUAAAAUAUACUGGUAUCAAUAUUUACCAGUACCAUGAUCCCUUUUUUCUUCUUUCUUGGUAUUCUUUUUGUUUGCUUUUCUGUUCACGUUUGAGGUUCGUUGUUGACCUUCACAACAAUAUCACCUCUAAGGUAUGAUCUAGCAUAUUUCUUCCUUAACACACCUUUUCAUGUUUGAGGAUAUAACAUGUCUUACUACUACUUUGUUUCUUCCUUAACACACCUUUUUAUCUGUUUCUAGAAUUACUUCUAAAUUAGCUAUUAAAAAUGAAAGACCAAAAUAUCCCACUAAUAUUAAUUUUAAUUGACUUACAUUAUUAACAAUUAAACAUGCUUCCUUUAUUAAUUAACCUUUAUUAAUGAAAUUAAGUGGAUGUUAUCAUAAACUUCCAUAUAAUAACAAUGGUUUAUUAUCCAUUUUAGGCCAUUUGCAUAAUUGCUAAUUGGGUCUUCGAACGUUUUCUAAAUUAAAAUUAAAUAACGAUUGAAGUUUUACAAUUUAAUUCUUGUACUAUAUUUAAUGAUUUUUCAGAUUUAAUUACCCAACCUACUGUUAAUAUAUUUUUCAUACUAACUUUAUAAAUACUGAUUAAUUAAAAUGAUUAACUAAAUAUAUAUAUUUGAAAUUAUUUUUAAUAUAAUAUAAAAAUUUUAUUAAAAUUUUAAUUUUAACUAUUAUACUCCUUAAAUACUUUAACCAUAAAGUUACGUACGCAAUUAAAUUUUAAUAAAAUUUGUAUAUUAUAUUAAAAAUAAUUUCAAAUAUUUUUGAAAACUAUACAACUUUGGUUUCCUAUUUAUAACUUUUUUGUGGUACAUCAAUUAUUUAAAUCCUGAUUAUUUCUCGAGAAAAUAAACAUCCGGUCAAUUGGUCACAAUAUGGGGUUCGAUCCAUUGUUUAGAUUUUAAUCAUUUGGGUAUGCAACUCUUUUUUUUAAAAAUAUCGUUGAUUGAACUUUAACUCAAUUGUUAACAUAUUAUUAUAGCAACAAUAAAGGGGACGUGGGUUUAAGCAUGCAUAUAAAUGUUUUUAUCGUCCAUUUGUGAGUGUGGGAGGUUUAUGAAUAAUUUCGGGACUGUAUAAAAAAGAUUACGUACGCAAUGUGACAAUUAUUAACUCUAUAUGCCCCGCCAAAUUCAAAAGUCCUUUUCAUAGUACAACAAGGGUAAAUGCUAAAAAUGAUUAUCUAAUUAUUACUGUUUUUCAAUUUUGGUCACCCAUGUUUAAAAAUGUUUAUCUUAGUCAUGUUACUGAAAUUUAAUAUUUUGGCCACGCCUUCGUUAAAUCACUAAUGGUGAUGUCUAUUUUAGUCACGUUACCAAAUUUUAAUAUUUUAGUCACGUUUCCGUUAAAUUACUAAUGGUGAUAUUUUUUAAUUUACAUAAUAACAAAUUUAGGCCUCAAAUAUCUAACUCGAUUGAAAAAAAUAAUUGAAUUAAUUAAUUAAUUAAUAUUUUGAAAAAUAGAAAACUAUCAUAAACAUUUGUUGGAUUAAAAUUUUUUUUAUUUUAUUAAAUGUGGAUUAAUAUAUGACGAAGGACAGUACUAGAAUGAAGUUAUUUGGUCUAAAGGGAAUUGCAGAAGAUACAAUAAUUUAUAAUGACCAACACAUCAAUAACAUGUGAAAAACACGAAAACCGACAAUGAAAAUAAAAACGCAGGGGAGGAAACAUCCAAUCUAAAAUUAAGUUAAAGCUAGCACUUGGAUCAUUUAUUUUUGUAGACAGAAUGCUCUUUAAACCAUUCUAAUUAUUUAGUGAAGAAAUUCUUAUUUAUGCAACUCUUCCUAUUUAAAAAUCAAGCAGCCAAUUAGAUCAAGUUUGUGUUGCCUGGUCAAAAUUUGUUUUGUCUUGUCAUAUUACUAGUGAGAAAUCAAGCACGUAUUACAUAAAAUGAUUUGGACAGUAAAUUGUUUUCAUGUCUGCGGCUAUUUUCAGUAUAAAUAUUUCUGUUUUCUUAAUAAAAAUCAAGCAACAAUUCUACUAGCUUUCAUCUACAUUUCGCCCAAGAAAUUAUAGUAAAGCAUAGACAAUGAGAGGAACAUUGAUGUUGAGUUGGAUUCUGAUCAUCUGCCUCUCCCUAGUAGCAGUGCAGAGCCAAUACUACUCGAAGACCCUACCAUAUCAUCCCAGGCCAGUUAAGGUCACCAAACUUCACUUCUUUAUGCACGAACAUACGGGUUACAGCAGUCCAGGUAGCCCAAGCUAACAUCACAAGCAAUAAUUCAUCAGUGCCACUUGCCACCCUAGUUGCCGUUAAUGAUCCCCUAAGGACUGGUCCUGAGCCUGACUCGAAGGUGAUUGGAAAUGUUCAGGGUAUUGCGCUUUUGUCCAAAAUGAAUGCAUCGAGCACGCAAUACAUAGAUUUUGGAUUUAAUACAAGUGAUAAGUCGUAAAAGUAACAUAAUUUUAAUCUCAUUCUUGAUGUGUUUUUGGAUGAUUUAUUAUGAAAAUUAGUGAAUUUGAUGCUUCUAAUCCUUUAAAUUCAUGUUUCUAUACUUAGGUAAGCAUAGAGGAGUGAAAGGAGCAAAAAAUUAGCUAAAAUCGGACAAAAAGAGCUGUUUUAAUGAUGCACACGGCUUGGGCAUUUCCACAUGGGUUGGGCACACGCCCGUAUGAGCCACACGGGCUGACCACACGCCCUUAUGCCAGCCCAUGUCCAUUUCGCAACCUGCUUUCCAGAUACGCGAAAAAAUCCAAUUUUUAAGCGUUUUGAGCAUUCUACUAAUCUCAUACUUUUCAAGUACAUUUUACUUUUAUGGGUCUUGGCAGUCUAUUGGUCAUGUUAUCGAAAUUUAAUAUUUUGGUCAUGCAUCCGUUAGUUCACUAGUGGUGACUAGAGGUGUGCAUGGGUCGGGCCACCCGGCUCGGCCCGAAGGCCUGCUCGAAAUGUGGGAGGGUUUAGGCAAAAAUAUAGGCUCGAAAAAUGCACUUCAGCACAAAAAUAAGACCCAUUUAAAAAAUGGGUCGGGCCUUGGGUAAGGCAUUUUUGGCCCGGGCCCGGCCCGAAUCCACUAAAUAACAAAAAAAUCUAUUUUUUUAAUAUUAUUUUUUUCCUAUUUUCCUAUUAUUUUACUAUUAUGUUGCUACUAUUUUGUUGUUAUUGUUUGGAUAUUGUAUAAAACUUAUUUUAUUGUUAAUUUUUUAUUAUUUUAAAGACAUUUGCUAAUUUUGUUAUUAUUUUAGAGGAAUUUACUUGUUAAGUUGCAUUUAUUUUAGUGUUUUUUAAGUAUACAUAUUUUUUAAAAUUUAUUUUCAAUUUGUUGAAAAAUAUUUAUUUUGAUCUUUUUAGUAUUUUUGAUGACUUAUAUAUAUUUUAAAAUUAUAUAAAAAUAAUAUAAAAAUUAAUAUGGGCGGGCUGAGUCAGGUUCAGGUUUUAACAUUUUUAUUCAGGCCGGGUUUGGGCAAAAUUUUAGGCCCAUUUUUUGGGCCGUCGCCUGGACCUAGCAAACUGGCCUAAAUUUUUAGUUGGGCCCGGCCCGGCCCGACCCAUGCACACCUCCAAUGGUGACCUUUUUUAUUGGAAUAAUAACAAAUUUAGUGCAAAUAUUUAACUGGGUUGAGAAAAUAAAUUAUUUGAGUGAAUAAAUUACAUUUAUUUUAAAUAAAUAAAAUUUGGGGAAUAAAAAAUUAUUUAUUGGUUGGUUAAAUUAUUCGAGUUGGUUUAAUGUUUAGAUAAGAGAUAUAAUUGUUUAUAAUAAAUGAGACAGACUUGAUAUGGCCAUCCCAUGUGUGAUAGGCAACAUUCAGGGUUCCCAAAGGGAGUGUGCGUUGCCCACCAAGUAACCCUAUUUGGUAGGGUUACACUUAUUUUGUAACAACCCGUAGUAGCGCCUAGGAGUUUGGUACAGCAAACCGUUAUUGUCUAUUAAGGGAAAAGAUCAGUUGAUUAACAAUUAGGGAAUGAAUUGCGAAAAGGGUAAAAGCAAGACUGCAAGAGUAGUUGGAUAGUUAUUUGACCAAAGAGUUGUGGAAAUAGUUUCCCUCCUUAAUUGAAACAGAGUCAUGCAUGUAGGACCUCUUCUGUCAUUAGGAGACCCUUACGUCGCAUACUACCCUAGUUACAUAUGAAUUAAAACUCCGCCAAUGAAGGUUUUAAACCUCCAUAAAUACCAAAGCCCCUUUAUUAGCCAAAUCUGUUGCGGAAAGGAUCGAUUCGAGAACUCCGAUAUGACUACAAGUAAAUUGACCGAAACGAAAAAUAAAGUGAACACAAGGAUUUACGUGGUUCGGCUUUAAUGCCUACGUCCACGGGCAGAGGCGAAAAGAAAUUUCACUAUAACAAGAUGAAGAUUACAAGUGUUUUACACUCAAGACACAACCCGAGAACCUCACAACUCUCAACCCCUAUAGAAAACCCGAAAGCUAAAAUCCUAGCUUUCAAAGAACAAGCUUUGCUCUCUCUUGGUUUGGGAUGAUCAAUAUGGCUAAUGAACCUCUCUAUUUAUAAGAGAGUUCAAGGACAUAAUUGUCCAAAACUUUGGCAAAGAUUUGUGGUUGAAAAUGGACACCAACAACCAUCCACUAAUCCACUACCACCAACAACCCACUACCAACAACAACAAUCCACUACCAAUUUUAAGCCAUUUCUUAACAAAUCUCCACCUUGGCUUGAAAUUUACCAAGCUGAACAUCAUAGUGAACUGGAUCACCUCUUCCAAACGCCUCUCUGGCGCUAAUCAAUCCCGAAUACCUAUCAAGUCCAAGCAAUGCUUGAACUUAUAUGCAGGGAUCACCUUAGUUAACAUAUCUGCAGGAUUCUUCUCGGUAGCAACCUUGCUGAUAACAAUGUCACCUUGCGUAACAUGUUCCCGAACAAAAUGAUAUCUGACAUCAAUGUGUUUGGUCCGUUCAUGAAACAUCUGAUUUUUAGUCAGAUGUAUGGCACUCUGGCUAUCGCAAAAUACAACAGUGAAAUCCUGUUGUAAACCCAAACUGCUUACUAGACCUUUCAUCCACAAUGCUUCUUUCACUGCUUCUGCUAACGCCAUAUAUUCCGCCUCAGUCGUAGAUAAGGCUACGGUAGACUGUAACACAGCUUUCCAACUAAUGGCUCCUCCAGAAUAAGUGAAAACAUAACCCGUCAGAGAUCUUCUUUUGUCCAGAUCUCCAGCAUAAUCAGAGUCCGCAUAGCCCGUGACACUGCUAGUGCAGUCACUCUGAUCAUAUACCAAGCAUAAAUCUGCAGAACCUCUCAAGUACCUGAGAAUCCAUUUCACGGCCUGCCAGUGUUCCUUGCCAGGACAACUCAUGUAUCUGCUGACCACACUAACUGUAUGUGAAAUGUCUGGACGAGUGCAAACCAUUGCAUACAUCACGCUUCCAACUGCACUCGAGUAUGGAAUGUGAGACAUUUGCUGCUUUUCUUCAUCAGAUUGUGGUGACAACUCUGCAGAGAGUUUGAAAUGUGGUGCCAACGGAGUACUCACAGUUUUCGCUUUAUCCAUGCCGAAGCGUUGAAGAACCUUUUCAAUGUAGUUCUUCUGCGACACACGAAGCUUGCCCGCCUUGCGAUCUCUGUGAAUAUCCAUGCCCAAAAUUUUCUUGGCAGCACCCAGAUCCUUCAUCUCGAACUCACCACUCAACUGCGACUUUAACUUGUUGAUUUCCGACAUGUUUUUGGAAGCAAUUAACAUGUCAUCAACAUACAGCAACAAAUAAAUGUGCGAACCAUCUGAGAGCUUCCGAUGAUAGACACAAGCAUCAUAGUCACAUCUUGUGUAACCAUGCUGAAUCAUGAAGCUAUCAAACCGCUUGUACCACUGCCUUGGGGAUUGUUUCAAUCCAUAUAAAGACUUCUUUAAUAGACAGACAUGGUCUUCUUUACCAGGAACUGUAAAACCCUCUGGUUGACGCAUGUAGAUUGUUUCCUCGAGCUCACCAUGCAAGAACGCCGUUUUUACGUCAAGCUGCUCAAGUUCUAGAUCAGACUUGGCCACCAUGGCAAGUAAUACACGAAUGGAAGAAUGCUUUACGACUGGGGAGAAAACUUCAUUGUAGUCAAUCCCCUCUUUCUGAGUGAAGCCUUUAGCAACCAAUCGUGCCUUGAAUCUAGUUGCUUCAACCCCUAGGAUGCCUUCCUUUUUCUUGAAGACCCAUUUGCAACCAACUAUCUUCUGGUUACUUGGCGGCUUAACCAACUCCCAAGUAUGGUUCUUGUGAAGAGAUUCUAUCUCCUCACUCAUAGCAAUUGCCCACUGUGCCGACUCAUCACACGUGACAGCCUCAUUAUAACUGGAAGGUUCUAUACCAAUGGACUCCGCCACACUGAGCGCGAAAGACACCAGAUUAGCGUAACGCGGAUUUGGUUUGAUUUGUCUCUUCGUUCUUCCAGUGGCAAUGCUAUAUGGUUUUUCUUGAGGUGACUCAUCUUCAUCGGAAUCUUGCACCUCAACUUGAUCAUCCUGGACUGAAGUACCUUCCGUAGGAAUUGGAGCGUCCACCUGACACUCCACCUGCUUCUCAACACCGUGAUCUCCCAUUCUAUCUGACUCCUCCUUUUCCCGGGAAUUUGUGGUGGAUCGAAGCAUGGAUGACUCAUCAAAAGUCACAUCUCUGCUGAUGAUGAACUUGGACGAAACCGGAUCAGGACACCACAACCUGUAUCCUUUCACCCCUUGGCCGUAUCCAAGAAAUAUGCAUUUCUUCGCCCUCGGUUUGAGUUUUCCCUCAUUUACAUGAGCAUACGCAGGGCAGCCAAACACUCUUAAACCAGAGUAAUCAGCAGGAGAACCAGACCAUACUUCCUCAGGAGUCUUCAGCUCAAUAGCUGUUGACGGAGAUCUGUUAACCAAAUAACAAGCAGUAUUAACAGCUUCAGCCCAAAAUUCUUCACCGAGCCCAGCAUUUGAUCGCAUGCAACGAGCUCGCUCCAAGAGAGUUCUAUUCAUGCGUUCUGCAACUCCAUUUUGUUGUGGUGUUCGACGAACAGUGCGGUGUCUCACUAUUCCUUCAUUUUUGCAGAACUCAUUGAAUUCACCUGAGCAAAACUCCAAGCCAUUAUCCGUCCGGAAUCGCUUGAUCUUCUUUCCUGUUUGAUUUUCGAUCAAAGCUUUAAAUUGCUUGAAGUUGAUGAGAACCUCAUACUUGUUCUUCAGAAAAUACACCCAAACCUUUCUCGAGUAAUCAUCGAUAAAGGUAAGCAGAUAUCUGUAACCACCUUUAGAAAUUGUCGGAGAAGGCCCCCAAAGGUCAGAAUGGAAGUAAUCCACUGUGCCUUUUGUCUUGUGAAUCCCAGUGCUGAACUUUACCCGAGUCUGCUUACCGAAGACGCAGUGCUCACAGAAAUUCAACUUUCCUGUACACUGCCCAGACAAUAAUCCUCGUUUGCUUAGCACCGAUAAGCCUCUCUCGCUCAUAUGCCCGAGCCGCAUAUGCCAUAACUUCGUGGUGUCAGAAUCUAGAUCAUCUGAUGAUGACACUCCCGCAACACCUGUAACCGAGGAACCAUCGAGGAAGUAAAGGCCCCGCUCCAAAUUACCACGUAUCACAGUCAAAGCACCCGAGAAUACCUUGAGAACUCCACCUUCAGCAGAGUACCGAAAGCCUUUCUUGUCCAACGUACUCAAAGAGAUCAAAUUUUUCUUCAUUUCUGGAAUGUGCCGAACAUCAGUUAGAGUUCUAACAAUACCGUCAAACAUCUUUAUACGAACUGUGCCAAUCCCCAUGACUUGACAUGCGUGGUCAUUUCCCAUUAGUACUGAACCAGAAUGCUUCUCGUAUGUUGAGAAUGCAUCUUUCGAAGUACUUAUAUGAAAUGUAGCUCCCGUAUCAAGAAUCCAUCUCCCACCAGCGUAAGAGUCGGAUACUGCAAGAACGAUCUCGGCAUCACUUGAAGAAUCUGCAUCAGCUACAUUCGCACGAUCAUUUUGUUGCUCCUGUGAUUCUGAUUUCUCCUUCCUUUUCGGACAAUCUACCUUCAUGUGCCCGUACUUCUUACAGUAGUAGCACUGUAUUCUCUUCUUGGACUGCGAUCUAGGAUGGCUUUUACUUGAACUUCCACCCUUUGCCUUGGAUCUUCCUCGAGCAACCAAGCCUUCGCCUUCAUUGUUUUCGACCACCUUACCAGUGAUUUUCUUCCUCAACUCACUGGAACUUAAGGCAUUUUUCACCUCCUCUAGAGUCAGGUCAUCACGACCGUACAUCAUUGUAUCAACAAAAUUCUCAUACGAGGGAGGCAAAGAACACAAAACAAUUAUUGCUUGGUCCUCAUCAUCGAUUUUGUUAUCGAUAUUAUUCAAAUCCAUGAUAAUGGAAUUGAAUUUAUCCAGGUGCUGGGAAACAGGUGUACCUUCCUCCAUCUUCAGGGCAUAGAGUCUUUGCUUGAGGUAGAGCCGGUUCGUCAAUGACUUCGUCAUGUACUUGCUUUCUAACCGGAGCCACAAACCGGACGCGGUUUUCUCAUCCGCUACUUCUCGUAGCACUUCAUCUCCUAGACAUAGCAGAAUAGCACUAUGUGCUCUUUCUAGCAUGUCAUCCUUUUGCUCUUCCGAAAGCGUGCUUGGUAAUUUAUCUUUACCAGACAAUGCUUUUAGCAAUCCUUGUUGAACCAGCACUGCCCGCAUCUUGAUGCGCCAUAAACUGAAACUAUUUUUCCCGGUAAAUUUCUCGACAUCAUACUUAGUCGAUGAAACACUUGUAGCCAUAAUUUGGAACCUUUGAAUGAAUGAUAAUAUUUUCUUCCUGAUGUGAAAGAUCAGACAAAGCUGCAGUCACAGGGCAAUUCAGAAAAUAUUAUCACUCCUUCAACUACGCUCUGAUACCAAUUUGUUGCGGAAAGGAUCGAUUCGAGAACUCCGAUAUGACUACAAGUAAAUUGACCGAAACGAAAAAUAAAGUGAACACAAGGAUUUACGUGGUUCGGCUUUAAUGCCUACGUCCACGGGCAGAGGCGAAAAGAAAUUUCACUAUAACAAGAUGAAGAUUACAAGUGUUUUACACUCAAGACACAACCCGAGAACCUCACAACUCUCAACCCCUAUAGAAAACCCGAAAGCUAAAAUCCUAGCUUUCAAAGAACAAGCUUUGCUCUCUCUUGGUUUGGGAUGAUCAAUAUGGCUAAUGAACCUCUCUAUUUAUAAGAGAGUUCAAGGACAUAAUUGUCCAAAACUUUGGCAAAGAUUUGUGGUUGAAAAUGGACACCAACAACCAUCCACUAAUCCACUACCACCAACAACCCACUACCAACAACAACAAUCCACUACCAAUUUUAAGCCAUUUCUUAACAAAAUCUUUAUUGAAUUCUUUCUCUCUUUUUGUUUUCUGUCGAGUUCCUGCAAAUCAGAAACCAAGUUUGUUUUCCUUAAAAGAUUCAAGGUAAGACUCUGUUUCUACAUUGCAUUAGAUAACUAGAAGUAAUUUUAGGGCCUUUAAGUAAGUUCGCAACACAAGAAACUUGGCUCGUCAAAAGACUAGUAUGUGCGAACCUAGGCUCGCUUGUGUUUAUCAAUGAGUUUUAAUGUGCUUUGACUGUUAGUUACUUCCUUAUAUUUGUGAAGUUCCGACAAGCAAAAACAAUGGAAAGACGAAGCUUAUUUAAAGCUUUCAGCUAACUGGUGAGUGUGCAGGGAUUGCCACUUGUAUGUGCAAACCAUAGUGUUAAUCAGGAGCUUAGGGCUUUAUUUUGGGAGUAAGUCUUCUCUAAUCUUUGUUUUGUGAUUGUGUUUUGUGAUUUGGGCGAGAGGCCUUGGGACAAGUUAGGAGUAAUAAGGGAAUGAUGAGUUAAGUUCCAUUUAAUGUGAUACGUUGAUGUGAUGGAAAGUGUUAGCUUAAUGCUACACUUAUGAGAUGUGUUAGACUCAUUGAGUCAAAGUAAGGUGUUAUAAGGAAAUCCGUUUAUUCAACUGAAAAGAAUAUGUGAAUAAGACUUAGUUCUCCAGAAUAUUAUGUUUUUAUGUUUUGUAUUAACUGACAGUGUGUAACUGCGAACUAGACUUCAUCGUAAAUUUGGCUAACCCAGUUCGCAAAACAGGUGAAUGUAUCUUUUCCAAAAUAGAACGUUCUACUGAUUUUGUAUCUGCAAACUAGACUUCCCAUAAUUUUGGCAAAUCUAGUUCGUAGAAUAGUAACUUCUGUAAGCUCUUGCUUAACUUAAGUCUUUGUGCGUGCUAUGACAUUUCAGAUAGGUAGCGUUGGGUGAGGGCAUGUGGCGAAGCCAAAGAUCCGGUAUAUUUCCCUGAGCUUUAAAAGUUUAAAUUAAAUAAAAAUACUAAUGUUAUGAUCUUCUUUCUUCAAAAAAAAUAUUUUCCCAUGUUUUAUUAACCCUAAAAGACUUUUAACAUUAUAAGUUGUUUUAUAUGUUAAUCCAUAGCUCACAAUCGCACCAACUUGCAGACUGAAUUUUACUUUAAACUAAAAUUUUUCCUUCAUCUGUACCAGCUUGCGUCUCUGAAGGGUUCGCGAGAACCCCUCCAAGACCGUAUAGAUCGCAGUAGAAAGUCCUCCGAGCUUUUAAAUUACUCACUGGAAGUAGUACACAAUAAAGUUUCCUAAGUGCUAAACUGAGAACUCCCAUGUGAUUAGCGAGUUCUAUUCUUAGCUUACCUGCUUUAGUGCGAAACAUUGGUAUGAAGUAACAAACUGCGAGCCUCUUAGGGCGCGAACCCUAGGAACAAAACCUUUGAGUUUUCAUCCCUUAGACCAUUGCGUGACAUCUCCGCUGCAUCUUAACACAUAAACCUAUUUACGUGUCGUGUGUUGGAGGUCCGAUUAGCACCCACCAACCUCCGAGUCAAGUUGUUCCGGUCAAAUUUGGAGUGUUACAUAUUUUUUUAUUUAAACAAUAUUAUUUUACUACCUCUUGUUCAACUAUGACUCUUAAUAUUUUUUUUUAUAAAUAGAGAUAAUGAACUAGGUCAAAGAGACAAUUUGCUAACUGUUGUUACUUUAUCAAAUUUUAAUAAGAUUUAUUAUACAAAUACGUAAUUUAAGAAUACUUAAUACAUAUGCAUUAAAAAUAAUCAAAGAUAUUGUGCUACCCUUCAAUAUUAUUAGUCACAUGAAAUAGAAUUGUAUGCAUAAAAUUAUAUAAAUGAUAUGCACACCAUUCAAACCAUAAGAAAAACGCAGGGGAGGAAACUGCCAAAUUAAAAAUUUGUUUUGAAGAAAACUUCCAAACUACAAUUAAUUUAAAGCAAAUGGAUGAUUGUACAACGCUGACCAUUCUAAUUAUUACGUCUAGUUAUUCUUAUGUUUUCAUGUAUUAUUCCUAGUUAAACAUCAAGCAGCUAAUUAGACCAAGUUUCUGUCGCGUGGUAAAGAAAAGAAUUCUUUAUAAUAUGUAAAAUGUUUUGGGCAAUCAAAUAUUUUUAUGUCUGCGGGUUUUCUCAGUAUAAAAGUUUCCUUUUUGUUAAUAAAAAUGAAGCAACAGUUCUAUAGCUUUAAUCUACAUUUCGCCCCAGAAAUUAUAGUAAAGCAAAGACAAUGAGAGGAACAUGGAUGUUGAGUUGGAUUCUGAUCAUCUGCCUCUCCCAAGUAGCAGUGCAGAGCCAAUACUACUCGAAGAGCCGACCAUAUCAUCCCAGGCCAGCUAAGGUCACCAAUCUUCACUUCUUUAUGCACGAACAUACGGGUGUUACAGCAGUCGUGGUAGCCCAAGCUAACAUCACAAGCAAUAAUUCAUCAGUGCCAUUUGCCACCCUAGUUGCCGUUAAUGAUCCCCUCAGGACUGGUCCUGAGCCUGACUCGGAGGUGAUUGGAAAUGUUCAGGGUAUUGCGCUAAUGGCUGGAAUGAAUGCAUCCAGCACACAAUACAUAGAUUUUGCAUUUAAUACCGGUAAGUUUAACGGCAGCUCUCUAAGCGUAUUUUCAAGGGGAGAACCUGGGCUUGCGGUGGUCGGAGGAAGAGGACGAUUCAUGAUGGCAACAGGGGUUGCACUAUUUAACCCUAUCCUUAUAAAUGCCACCACUGUCAUUAUUGAAUUAAACGUUACUGUAAUUCAUUACUAAGGUGCUAUUUACAGACGCAGUUCUCAUCGAAUGUGAAAAUUAAAAUUCUCAUACUUCAUCAUCGUACUUUAUUAUUAUAUUAGAAAUAAAGAUCCAUGGUUGAGCUAUUUGAAUAUAAAUAUUUUUCAAUUGAUGUAAUUGAAGUAAAUUUUUUUGAAUAUAUAACAUAUAAUUUACAACAAUAAAAUUAAAAUUUAAACAAUAAAAUUAAAUAUGUAAAAAAAAAUCGAUAAAUUCGAAAUGGUACACUAAAAUAUACUGGUAUCAAUAUUUACCAGUACCAUGAUCCCUUUUUUCUUCUUUCUUGGUAUUCUUUUUGUUUGCUUUUCUGUUCACGUUUGAGGUUCGUUGUUGACCUUCACAACAAUAUCACCUCUAAGGUAUGAUCUAGCAUAUUUCUUCCUUAACACACCUUUUCAUGUUUGAGGAUAUAACAUGUCUUACUACUACUUUGUUUCUUCCUUAACACACCUUUUUAUCUGUUUCUAGAAUUACUUCUAAAUUAGCUAUUAAAAAUGAAAGACCAAAAUAUCCCACUAAUAUUAAUUUUAAUUGACUUACAUUAUUAACAAUUAAACAUGCUUCCUUUAUUAAUUAACCUUUAUUAAUGAAAUUAAGUGGAUGUUAUCAUAAACUUCCAUAUAAUAACAAUGGUUUAUUAUCCAUUUUAGGCCAUUUGCAUAAUUGCUAAUUAGGUCUUCGAACGUUUUCUAAAUUAAAAUUAAAUAACGAUUGAAGUUUUACAAUUUAAUUCUUGUACUAUAUUUAAUGAUUUUUCGGAUUUAAUUACCCAACCUACUGUUAAUAUAUUUUUCAUACUAAGUUUAUAAAUACUGAUUAAUUAAAAUGAUUAACUAAACUAUCCUAGCAAAAUAUAUAUUUGAAAUUAUUUUUAAUAUAAUAUACAAAUUUUAUUAAAAUUUUAAUUUUAACUAUUAUACUCCUUAAAUACUUUAACCAUAAAGUUACGUACGCAAUUAAAUUUUAAUAAAAUUUGUAUAUUAUAUUAAAAAUAAUUUCAAAUAUUUUUGAAAACUAUACAACUUUGGUUUCCUAUUUAUAACUUUUUUGUGGUACAUCAAUUAUUUAAAUCCUGAUUAUUUCUCGAGAAAAUAAACAUCCGGUCAAUUGGUCACAAUAUGGGGUUCGAUCCAUUGUUUAGAUUUUAAUCAUUUGGGUAUGCAACUCUUUUUUUUAAAAAUAUCGUUGAUUGAACUUUAACUCAAUUGUUAACAUAUUAUUAUAGCAACAAUAAAGGGGACGUGGGUUUAAGCAUGCAUAUAAAUGUUUUUAUCGUCCAUUUGUGAGUGUGGGAGGUUUAUGAAUAAUUUCGGGACUGUAUAAAAAAGAUUACGUACGCAAUGUGACAAUUAUUAACUCUAUAUGCCCCGCCAAAUUCAAAAGUCCUUUUCAUAGUACAACAAGGGUAAAUGCUAAAAAUGAUUAUCUAAUUAUUACUGUUUUUCAAUUUUGGUCGCCCAUGUUUAAAAAUGUUUAUCUUAGUCAUGUUACUGAAAUUUAAUAUUUUGGCCACGCCUUCGUUAAAUCACUAAUGGUGAUGUCUAUUUUAGUCACGUUACCAAAUUUUAAUAUUUUAGUCACGUUUCCGUUAAAUUACUAAUGGUGACAUUUUUUAAUUUACAUAAUAACAAAUUUAGGCCUCAAAUAUCUAACUCGAUUGAAAAAAAUAAUUGAAUUAAUUAAUUAAUUAAUAUUUUGAAAAAUAGAAAACUAUCAUAAACAUUUGUUGGAUUAAAAUUUUUUUUAUUUUAUUAAAUGUGGAUUAAUAUAUGACGAAGGACAGUACUAGAAUGAAGUUAUUUGGUCUAAAGGGAAUUGCAGAAGAUACAAUAAUUUAUAAUGACCAACACAUCAAUAACAUGUGAAAAACACGAAAACCCUAUCCUUAAAAAUGCCACCAAUGCCAUUAUUGAAUUAAACGUUACCGUACUUCAUUACUAAGGUGCUAUUUACAGACUCAAUUCUCAUCGAUUGUGACAAUGCCAUGAUUCUUCUCCACUUGAUUAGAAUAAAUGUACGAGAAUAAAUUAAAAUUCUCUUACUUCAUCAUUGUACUUUAUUAUUAUAUUACAAAUAAAGAAUAACAAAAUAAGCUGGCCGAGAAUACUCUAACUUGCCACAACAAAUUAUUCGAUAUAAUUGUACUAUUAAUUGAUAUGUAUAACUAUUUUAGUUAAUUUAUUAGUUAAUUUAGUGGACAUUAAUAUAAAAAUUGAAUACUUUAAACCUAAAUUUUAUUUUAUUUUAUGUUAAAUAUUUUAAAAUUUACAUUUAAACUUAAAAUACAAUUAUUAAAUUAAGUUAUUGAACCUAAUUAGUAAUUUUAAAACUUAUAUUUUGAUAUAAAUAUAUUUUUGUAUGUAAGAUUGAUAAUGCUCUAGAAUAACGUAUUUUUAUGUAUUAAUCAUGUGUUUAUUCUGAGCUUGAUCCUACUAAUUUGAGCUAUUUAUGUCUUUUUAUCUUUUCGGGACUGAUUUGGAGGCAAAAGCAAAAUUAAGAGACAAAAGUGCGAAUUUAGAGACACAAUGGGCUGAUAUGCGACACAGGAAAAAGAUUGUGCCAAAAGUGCGAGCAUGGAAGACACAAGGACUAAAAACGCAAAAAGAAGAGAUUUUAUUUUAUAAGACUCCAUUUUAUUUAGAUUAAGAUAAUUAAUAUUAAGAUAAUUAUUAGGAUUAUUUAAUUUUAGGAUUUUAUUUCAAUUAUUUUUAUUUAUCUUUAAUUAAAUGUAUUUAUCUUUUUAGAAUUUAAGUUAGACUAUCUCCCUAGCACUAUAAAUAGGGGGUGAGGUGACUCUAUUUGGGGUGUUCAUCUUUUUCUGUAAACACUCUCCCCCUGAAAGUCUAGGCUUUUGUUUCUUCAUAUUUUCUUUCAAUAAAAUUCUUUUUUCCAAUUUUAUAUUUGUUUUUUUUCCACCAUUAUCAUGAGCCACUAAAACCUAUCUAGCCGAAAGUUGUCAAUAUUCCCCAAAAAGGGUUCUUGAGACCUAGAAUCUGUACUUAGCCUUCUCGCCAAGUAUUCAUCAUUUCUCCGCACUACGGGUUGACGCUUCAGUCCAUGGCCCUUAAGAAGUAAGCUUUUCAGCAUAUGCAAAGGCGGCCGCUUUGUAUGUUUUGGAAGGAUUGCAUAGUCGGUUCGUUAACUUACUGCAUCAGAGGUUGGCGAGCCAAAGAGACAAAAUGGCGUGGGAUUCGCCAUUGAGAAGCCUUGAUCUAGCAUAGAUUACUGGCUAGAGUUAGGUCCCCUAAAAAUCGUAAGUCUAAUCUUCUAUAGCUGGUGGUCAGGUUCCAAUAUUUUUGAAAAAUACAAAAUUUUGGUUCUUUGCUUACACUUUUUCUUUUGGUACAUCGGUGACUUGAAUCUAGGCUAUUUUUAUAGAAAAUAAACACUCGAUCAAUGGAUCACAACUUGCGAUUUGGUUCAUUAUUUAAAUUUUAAUAAUUUGUUAUAGGUGCAUUGAUGAUUCGAUUUUAUGCUAUUUUUAUAGAAAAUAGAUACUCGAUCAAUAGACCACAAUUUGGGGCUUGAUUCAUUAUUUAGAUUUUAACCAUUUGUUAUGCAACUUUAAAAGAAAAAGAAACAUUGCUAAUUGAUCUUUAACUCAAUUGUUACUAUUGUUGUUGUAACAAUAAGUAGGAUGUGGGUUUCAACACCUUUAAGUGCUUUUAUCUCCAAUUUAUGAGGUUUAUGAGUAUUUUAAGCAUUGUAUAGAAAAUUUAUGUAGGCAAUGUGACAAUUUUAACUCUAUAUGCCUUGCCAAAUUCGAUUGUUCUUAUCAUAGUACAACAAGGGUAAACUCAAAAAAUAGUCGCCUAAUUAUUAGCCUGUUUCAAUUAUGAUCAUUCAGGUUUAAAAUUUUCUAUUUUAGCUACAUUAUCGAAAUUUAAUAUUUUAGUCACGACUCCAUUAAAUCAUUAACGGUGACAAUUUUUUAUUAGUAUAAUAACAAAUUUAACCUCAAAUAUUUAAUUAGGUUUAAAAAAUAAUUUAAUUAAAUAGAUGAAUUAAAUUUAUUUUAGUUAAGUAAAUAAUAUUUUUGAAAGUAAAAAAAUAUUAACUAAAAUAUAUGGGUUGAUUAAAUAUUCAGAUAUAUGUACGAUAUAUGAGAUAGGCCCAAUAAGCUCAUCCAAUGUGUGAUGGGCAACACCCAAGGUUCGAGAGGGAGUAUUGUUGCCCUCCUGGUAACAGUACUGAGAUUAUAAAAAUAAUAUUAUUUUUGGUUAUCUUCAACCUAUAUUUAAGUGGACCCAAUCCACAUAUCAAUCAUAAAACAGAAUAAUUUAUAACAUCAGCACAUCAAGCAGAUGUAUGGACAAUACAAACCAUUCAAACGAAAAUAAAAAAAGCAGGGUAGGAGACUUCCAAUCUAAAAAUUGAUUUAAAGCAAGUGGAUCAUUUAAUUUUAUAGGCAGAAUGGUGUUUACGUGAAGUUAUCCUUAUUUAAAAAUGUAGCAGCCAAUUAGACCAAGUUUGUGUUGCCUGGUCAAAAUUUGUUGUCUUUAAUAUUACUAGUGAGAACUCAUGCAGGUAUUAUAUAAAAUGUUUUGGACAGUAAAUUAUUUUCAUAUCUGCGGGUUUUAUCAGUAUAAAUGAAGCAGCAAUUCUAUAGCUUUAAUCUACAUUUCGAACCAGAAAUUAUAGUAAAGCAGAGACAAUGAGAGGAACAUGGAUGUUGAGUUGGAUUCUGAUCAUCUGCCUCUCCCAAGUAGCAGUGCAGAGCCAAUACUACUCGGAGACCCUACCAUAUCAUCCCAGGCCAGUUAAGGUCACCAAUCUUCACUUCUUUAUGCACAGAACUACGGGUGUUACAAUAGUCGUGGUAGCCCAAGCUAACAGCACAAGCAACGACAAUAAUUCAUCAGUGCCAUUUGCCUCCUUAUUUGCCAUUAAUGAUCCCCUCAGGACUGGUCCUGAGCCUGACUCAGAGUUGAUUGGAAAUAUUCAGGGUAUUGCGUCAGUGACCGGAAUGAAUGCAUCGAGCACGGAAUACCUAGAUUUUGGAUUUAAUACUGGUAAGUUUAACGGUAGCUCUCUAAGCGUAUUUUCAAGGGGAGAACCUGAUCUUGCCGUGGUCGGAGGAAGACGACAAUUCAUGAUGGCAAGAGGGGUUGCACAAUUUAAUCCUAUCCUUGUAAAUGCCACCAAUAUCAUUGCUGAAUUUAACGUUACUGUAAUUCAUUACUAAGGUGUUAUUUACAGACUCAAUUCUCUUGGAUUGUGAAAAAGUCAUAUGAUUUUGCUCCACUUGAUUAGAAUAAGUGUAUGAUAUAUAUAUAUAUGUUGAUUUGAUUAAAAAUUAAAAUUCUCAUACUUGAUCAUUUUACUUUAUUGUUAUAUUACAAAUAAAGAUUAAUUUCUUAGCUACAAAAAGGCAUAUAAAUAUAUCUAUAGAGUAUUUAUCUUCAUCUCUUAUAGAGGUUGUUUUAUGCAAAACUUGACCAUCAUGAAAACUUAAACAAACUAAAGUGGGCAUUGAUGUAUUUGAUUCCUUGGCACUUGACAAUUAUUUGUUUAUUUUGCUCAAUAUAUCAUAACAAGUAUAUACUUGUGUAGAGAUGAAUAAAUCUUGGGAUGUUGGAAUGACUUUAACUUCCAAGAAAUGAUUCAGAUCACUAAGAUCUUUACGAGAGAAUCUCUCGGCCAAAGUUUGAACAAAGUUAGAGAGAAAAGCUUUAUUGUUUUUAUUGACACCAAAUUUGGUCGGAUUCGAUAAACUCAUAUUCGACCAUACUUAGGCCUUUAAUAGAUCGAUAAAUUAAGGCAUAAUAUCAAAUUUAGCUCUCAAUAUUUACAUGUUUUACUCAAUUUAGCUCUUAUCUCUUUUUCUAGCUAAAUUUGAGCUGCAACCUUUUGAAAGGAAUCGAAUUUGACUUCAAACCUUUCAAAAAGAGUCAAAUUGUAGUUUUGUUAUUGGAAAUGCUAACUAAAAUGUUAAACUUUUAAACAUCAUAGCUCUCAUGGCAAUCCACAUGUACUUUAUAUUAAUUUUCUUUUAAUUUUUAUGAAAUUUUUAUAAUUUUACUUUUUUAUAAUUUAUUAUUUUUAAAUUAUUUAUUGAAGUGACAUAUAAAAUAAAAAAUAUCAUAACAAUAUAAAGUACACGUGGAUUGCCAUACCGACAUCAUUAAAAAUUUAUUCUUUUUGUCAUCAUUUUCGUUAAAAAAGAGAUAUUUAUAAGAAUAAAUCCUAUUUUCAACAAAUCUCAGAGUUUUUCAGUUUUUCAUAGAGAGAAAUUAACUUUUCGACUGGAAGUCAACCAAGUUAUCUAUAACACCCAUACCUGACCCGAAAAUCGGGUCUGAGAUAUAGAAUGCCACAUUCGUUGUCGGAGCAACUUCGAUCGAUUACAUACAAAUUUCAUUGUUAAUCAUUUAUUUACAAGUAUUAAAAGCUUAAAACAUAAUAUAUAAUCAUUUCGGGUCAUAUAUGAGCUUAUGAAAGCUCAAUACCAUCCCAAGGUUGAACUAGGAUUGAACUGAAAAGUUUUCAAAAUAUAUCUGGUGGGUAUCGCCUCAUUAAAUAUAGUAGCCAAACUUCCAAACCUGAUAACCAAAUUGCAAAACUUCCAAAAUAAAAUAGGGUUGACAUCAUGACCUCAAGCAAGGGACGUCACAAUGAGAUGGCCUGAGGUCGUGACAUUCAAGUUGUCAAGUUGCAACAUCCAUGGCAGACCACUAAGUUCCUUUUCCAAAGAUACCAACCUAGCAUAUGCAGGUACAGUUUGACCCUAAGGCCCUAUCCAUCCUUCCAAUACAUAUAGAUAUGAUUAAUAUGCCAUUUUAAGUAAUUAAUAUAAAAUUAAUACAUGACCAAAAUCAUUUUCAUAUCUUCACCAUUCAUGUACAUUAGUUUGACCAUUUUCAACAUUUAUCAAGAUAGCCUUAGGUACAUGCCAUUUAACCAAAAUGAAAUGAACUAUACAAACUCAGUUGAGUUGAAUACAAUAGCCCAGAUGCUAACUUAACUUCCUAGGGCGUUGAGGAAAACCUGAACCUGUUCCUGUAACAACUAAACCGUAUCCUAAGCGAUAGGGCUCAGUGGUAUUUUCAUGCUUCAAGAUAGUAUAACAUAACAUUAAUACCAUGAUUUAAUACAAUGCAUAUGCAUAACAAUCUAUAUUUAAACAUUUCAUGUCCUACAAAUACAAAUCAUUUCUCAUCAUCUUCUAAUACAUAUAUACAUACCUAUCGCAAUGAUAAGCCAAUUCAUUAAUCAAUCAUCAUUCAUUAACUUAUUCUCUAGCAAAACAUCAAUUAUGAAUAAAAAAUACAAUUAUAUACUUAAACAACAUGCCAUUCAAUUUUAUAUUUAUUUAACAUCUACCAUUCAAUCCUUUUUCCUAAGUCAAUUUGCUCAUUCACAAUAGUUUCAGCCUUUAGGGCUCAUUUUCGAAUGGUUUGCUCAAUAGCUUAAAUGUUCUUUUUAUCAAAAUUCACAUAGGAAAAUAAGUGAGACCAUAUUAUUAAACCAUUUCAUUUUACGAUAUCAUUUGUCAUGUUUACCAUUUAUAACCCUAUUAACAUGACUCGGACUCGAACAGAUACACAAAAUGUCCAACUAGCAUACCAAACUGGCAUCGAAGAGCAUCAUUGGAUAAAUCAAAGCAGGGCAAAUCGGGCACAUAAAGUGCAUUUUGGUGUAAAAAGUGCAAGUGCAUACUGGCACACGAAGUGUAUCCUGGCACAUGAGGUGCAUCCUGACGCAUAAGCUCAUAAUCCAGUACACAAACCAAUCCUAUAGCAUGCCAAUUAUACUCGAACAACUAAUAGGGUACCAACAUUCAAUCUAUUUUACGAUUCAAUACAUAAAACAUUCUUGACCGCCUAUAAACGUGUUACCGUUUAUAGUAUAAAUAACACAUCAAAAAUAUAAUAAAUAAAUCUGAUGGUGUCGGUAAGCUUAUGGGUCAAAUUUUAAUAUAGUAUGUGUUAUAACGAAACAUCGAUAAGUAUUCUGAAAAUCGUACCUAAGGGAUUGCAUAUUGGAGAAAUUAAUAUUAAGUCAAUUAUAGAAAAUAGGGAAGAACGAACACCCAAAUAUUUUACAUGGAAAACUCCUUCGAAGAGGAUAAAAACCAUGGACAAAUGAGGCUUCAAGUUUCCACUAAAUUUGUAAACAAACAAGAGGACAAUAUCGAGAAAAUAAACCUAAAUGUACUAAACGUACAAACCCAAACCCCAAAAAUAAAGUCCUAACUUGGAAACUAAAUUCUUUACAUAGUUACUACGAAAUUCUCACAAAAAAUCAUAUGCGACUACAUCUUGUCGCCUUUAAAGAAAAGCACUUGUUGAUUGGCUUGUUAGUUUUUUGGCCACUCAAAAUAAGGAUACAAUGGACCCUUUAAAUAGGUGAAGAUUAGAGUUCUAAUCAUACUAAAAUAUCCCUAAAAUAAUCAAAGUUUGACUGAGAGAAUAAGUCCUACUUAGAGUAAAUAAUGUGGUUGCUUACGUGGAGAAUACAUCGCUUGAUGGGUGUCGAAUCCAUAAAAUAUAACUUUUCAUGCCUAAACGAAAUGUAAAUCAACAAUACAAAGAGUAGGGUUGAUCCUACAGGGGUUGAGAUAUCUAAAAUUGUUGUUCAUUUUAACCAAAACAUGUGGUAGGCAACUUUCAUGCCCAUGACGUGUGUCGAGCUAUAUGAAAAAUAGAAGAGAGGGAUUAAAUCUGACUAUAAUAAAAUAACAUAAAUAAAUAACUAUAUAGUAAAACAAACAUUAUGAAAACAAAAUUGAGUAAACUGAUGAGACAACGCUCUAACUUUAGGAAUAGUUUUGGCCCUGGUUUCUAGUUGAUCCACGGCAAUAGAUUUUCACCUCCAACCGAUAAGUCAAUUAUAAUGAUUAAGGAAAAACCUCUAACCACUUGCCUUUUUGUACGUAAAUUAAAUGCGAGAACAAUUCGACAUGUAACACUUAUGAAGUAAUCAACCAUAAAAUUGACUUCUACGAUUUAGUUCCUCGUUAACCAUGCAAACAAGAUGGAAUCGACUUGAAUCAAAGGUCUCUAUUGUGCCGGUCGUUUAAAACCUAUCAAUAAUUCUAAUAAUACUCUAAAAUGACGUGUUUUUAUACAUUAAUCAUGUGUUUAUUUUGAGCUUUAGCCUACUAAUUUGAGCUAUUUAUGUCUAUUUAUCUUUUAGGGACUAAAUUGGAGGCGAAAAGUAAAUUCAAGGGAAAAAGCAUCAAUUUGGAAAUCAAAUGGGCCAAUAUGCAACGUGGGACAAAUAUGGUGCCAAAAGUACGAACAUGGAAGGCACAAGGACUUAAAAGCAAAUAGAAGAGAUUUUAUUUUGGAAGACUCUAUUUUAUUUUAUUUUAUUAGGAUAAUUAAUAUUAAGAUAAUUAUUAGGAUUAUUAAAAUUUAGGAUUUUAUUUUAAUUAUCUUUGUUUAUCUUUAAUUAAAUGUAUUUAUCUUUUUAGAAUUUAAGUUCAAUUAGACUAUCUCCCUAGCACUAUAAAUAGGGGGUGAAGUGACUUUAUUUGGGAUCAUCUUUUUCUGUAAACACUCUCCCCCUGAAAGUCUAGGCUUUUGUUUCUUCAUAUUUUCUUUCAAUAAAAUUCUCUUUUCCAUUUUUAUAUUUAUUUUCUUUUCCACCAUUAUCAUGAGCCACUAAAACCCUUCUAGCCAAAAGUUGUCAAUAUUUCCCCAAAAAGGGUUCUUGAGGCCUAGAAUCCGUACUUAGCCUUCUCACCAAGUAUUCAUCGUUUCUCCGCACUCCGGGCUGACGCUUCCGUCCAUGGCCAUUAAGAAGUAAGCUUUUCAGAAUAUGCAAAGGCGACCGCUUUGUAUGUUUUGGAAGGGUUGCAUAGUCGGUUUGUUAACUUACUGCGUCAGAGGUUGGCGAGCCAAAGAGACAAAAUGGCGUGGGAUUCGCCAUUGAGAAGCGUUGAUCUAGCAUAGAUUACUGGCUAGAGUCAGGUUCCCUAAAAAUCAUAAGUCUAAUCUUUGGAGCUGGUGGUCGUAGGCGUCCUCUUCCGCUAUAAUUGGGUUACUUGAGUCGAGAAGGAUCAUCCAAAAGCCAAGGAUUGAGCCCAAGGCGGAAUGAGACAACCGGAGGCUGGAACUUUCCCAUAAGAAUUUCUUUUCUCUUAAAACUCUCUUUAUUAUUUUUAUUAUUUUCGUAAUCAUAAUUUCAGUAAAUUUUAAAUUCUGUUUUUAUUUUAUUUUUUUUGCUUCCAAAAUCAAUUCUUAAAUUCUGUUUUUUUAUUUUUUCCAGGAACGCAGGUUUUCUUGGGCACGAUUCUGCCUAAGAUUUCGAGAAACAAGCAUUCGUAUAAUCCGGUCCCUGAGGAUUCGACCUUACUUGCCCUUUACGAUUUCUCUUUCGUUAUUUUAUAGGGAAUAGGAUAUUUUUGGUGCUCUCAACGACCGCAUCAAAUUUUGGCGUCGUUGCCGGGGACCGGCAACAUACUAAUCUUAUUUUUCUUUAUUUUCUAUGACCAGAUCUGCUCCAGGUACUCUUGCAUUCGACUCAGAAAUCGAAAAGACUGUUAAAGCUAAUCGAAAGGAAACAAAACUAAGGAAAAAGCAGUCAGGGGUGGUUGGAACUCAAAGCAAUCCACCGCCAGAAAUUAGAAUCAACGACGAAGUAGAGUCUAGGGUUAACGAAAACCCUACUCGAAUGUUAGAAAGUAAAGAAGAAGAAGUCGAUUCACCUGAAGAGGUCAUUGACGCUAGGGUUGACGAAAACCCUAAUUUAGCGCAAUAGCAGAUGGCUCAGACAAUUCGGUAACUGGCCGAAGCGCCGACAGAACAACCGCCACUAUGCAUUGCUUAUCCUACUAUGGAUACUGAUUUUGAAUUAAAGUCAGGCUUGAUUCAGCUACUGCCAACUUUUCGUGGGUUACAAAAUGAAAACCCCCACAAGCAUUUAAAAGAAUUCCAUAUGGUUUGUUUGAGUAUGAAACCUCAGGGGGUAAUUGAGGAUCAAAUUAAAUUGCGCGCUUUCUCUUUUUCCCUAGCAGAUUCAGCUAGGGAAUGGUUAUUUUAUUUACCUCCUGGAUCCAUUACAACUUGGGCUGAUCUAUCUCGUUUAUUUCUUAACAGGUUUUUCCCUGCAUCACGAGCGGCAGAGUUAAGAAGAGAAAUCGUGGGCAUAAGGCAAAAAGACGCAGAGACUCUAUACGAUUAUUGGGAGCGAUUUAAGAAGUUGUGUGCAAGUUGCCCACAACACGGUAUAAUGGAACAGUCUUUGCUCUAGUACUUUUAUGAAGGCUUGAAACCCAUGGAGAUGAAUAUGGUAGAUGCCGCGAGUGGAGGAGCGUUAGUCAACAUGACUCCAUAACAAGCAAGAGACUUAAUCUCCACAAUGGCUGCGAAUUCCCAACAAUUUUGAGCCAAUCCUGAACCCCCUAGAAGGGUUCACUAGCUAAGUAAUUCUACCAUUGAGGAUAGACUUGAUAGACUUACUAAUAUUGUGAAUUCCCUUGUUACAGAAAAAUCAAAACCAGCCCGAGUAUGUGGAAUAUGUGCUACACCUGAACAUACGACUGAUGCGUGCCCUAAUCUGUAUGACGAUUCUAUGGCCCAUUUAGAUGCUGUGGGAAAUUUUCCUGGGCCACCACAAAGACGAUACGACCCUUACACCAAUACCUACAACUCAGGGUGGAGGGACUACCCUAAUUUUAAUUAUGGGGCUAAUCUACGAUAUAACUAGCCAUACCAAAAUCGAGCCCAACAACACUCGCAAGAUUCAGGUAAUUCUCUAGAAACUUUGGUCAAUAAAUUAGAAACUAAUGUCCUUGAUUUUCAACAGCAAACUCUCAAUUUCCAAAGAGAAAUGAAGGGUUUUCAGCAGAAAACUGAAGCAUCCAUAAGGGAGUUGACCACAUCAAUUGAGAAAUUAAACUCUCAAGGGAAACUACCAUCAUAAACAGAACCAAACCCGAGGCAGAAUGCGAAUGCAGUAACGUUACGAAGCAGAAAGGUCCUCGAACCAAUUUUUGGCAAGAAUCUUGGUCAAGAACUCGCCCAGGAAACUCCAGAAAACGACGAACAGAUCCGAGCGAAAUCCCCACUACCGAAAAUCCAACCUCCAUUCCCAGGACGAUUAAAUCAGUGUCGAAAAAGUAAGGAAGAUAAGGAGAUACUCGAAACAUUCAGGAAUGUUGAGAUCAACUUACCACUGUUAGAUGCCAUUAGAUAGAUUCCGCGGUAUGCCAAGUUCCUCAAAGAGCUUUACACCAACAAACGAAAACUAACAGUUAAUGAAAAGGUAAGUGUUGGUGAGAAUGUUUCCACAGUGCUACAGCGAAAAAUGUCGGUUAAAUGCAAAGAUAGGGGUAUGUUCGCUAUUCCAUGCAAAAUUGGCCAUUUAGGAAUUAAAAAGGCUAUGUGCAAUCUAGGGGCGUCCAUAAAUGUAAUGCCUUAUUCUAUUUAUGAAUCACUUAACGCGGGUUUUUUGACAAAGACAGGUGUUACCAUUCAGUUGGCAGACAGGUCCAUUGUGCAUCCCGAAGGGGUCCUCGAGGAUGUAUUAGUCAAAUUCAAUGGGCUUAUCUUCCCUGCAGAUUUUUAUGUGAUAAAAAUGGAGGAGGAUAACACUCCUGGGUCUUCAGCCAUCUUGUUGGGGUGACCUUUCCUUAGUACUGCGAAUACUAAGAUUGAUGUACGAAGCGGAACCCUCACGAUGGAGUUUGACGGGGAGAUCGUGAAGUUUAACGUUUAUGGCACUAUUAGUCACCCAAGUGAAGUCUUGGACGUAAACCGUGUCAACAUAAUUGACUCAUCAAUAGAAAAAACUUUUGAGUCAACUUAUAGAGAUAAACCUAAAAUGAUGUUUGAUGAUUUUGAAUCUGUUAAUAAAUUAUUGGCUCCCAUGAAUACUAAACUUCUACCUCCUGUUGUGCAGGCACCAGAUCUGAAAUUAAAACCACUUCCCGAACAUAUCAAAUGCACAUUUUUGGAGAAUGAUGAGACCAUUGCCGACUUAAAAAGGAUCAAACCCUUGGAGGAAAAUACGAAACCAAAGAAAGAGGCGCAAGGCUGAUUAAACCCAAAUAUGGUGGACGUGUUAAAAAAUGAGAAUUUCCAAGCCUAUACAAAUGAAAGAAUUCAUUUGGAACAAUUCCAAUUCUAGUUGAGGCGUCAAGCUAGCGACAUUAAACAAGCGCUUGUUGGGAGGCAACCCAAUCUUUCUUUUUUUUUAUUUAUUAUUUUCCUUUCUUUUUAUUUUUUAUUUUUUAUUUUAUUUUUAUUUUAUUUUAGUUAAAUAUUAAUAAAUUUCUCUUCUUCCAUCUAGGUGAAAUGGAGCGAAAAUACGAAGAAAAAAAAGACAGAAAGUGUGCACCAAAACAACCCUAUCCAUGGUACCAAACAGUUCUAUUCCAGCCCAGAAUGCCAUAUCUCUGCAGCCAAACAAUCUUAUUCCAGCCCUAGAAUCCCUAAAAUCUGCAACCAAACACCCCUUUUCAGCAAAUAAAACCCCCAAACCUUACAUUUUUUUCCCAAAUUUCUCCAUAACCACCGACUCCUCUCUCCUCCACCACCCCUGCCGAUUUCUCAGCCACCAUGGUGAGAACCCGAAGCCGAACCGCCAUUGCACACGUCACCCACCCCGUCUCCACCUCUUGCUGCUUCGCCAUCUUCUUCUCCACCGUGUGCGCCAACUGACGGUAACUACAUGGGGAGUUUUUCUAAACUUUUUUUCUCCACCUAUUUGUUUUCCUUUUACUUUCAUAUCGAGGACUGUAUGUUUUAAGUAGGGGGAGGAAGUUAUUCAUUUUGUUUUAACUGCUGAAUUUUUGUUAUUACUGCUGGUUUGAUUGUUGCUAUUGUUGCUGGCUCUCUAUUUAUUUUUUGGAAUAUCUUGCCUCUUUUCAUGCCCAAGAUUUUACCAGGAAUUGCCUACUGUUUGACCUACAAGUAUGAUUCUUACCUUCUAAGGAAGUUAUGAUUUUUCCCAUAAUUGAUGCCAUCUCCACUGUUUUAUUUUUAUUAGGCUAAAAAUAAUUGUGAUUAAUAGGGUUAAUUCUAUAUUGCUUUUCGUAAAAUUGAUCAAGUUUAAUAUAAAGUGAACACUUAAAAUGAUUGCAUGCUUAAUUAAUGUUCAUGGCUAUUAGGUGAUUAUUGAAACUUAUUUUUGACACUUAAAUUUUUUUUCUUUCCUGAGUUCUCAAGAAUUUUAAAUAUCGUUUAAUUUUUAAUAAAAGUUUUCCAUGGUUAUGAGUACAGCUUAGAUCGUGACUGACUGAGUAACCGGGGUAGGGUGCUUGAGUUGUCAUUCUACUUCGCAUCAAAAGGUUGUGUGACGUGACAAGUAAAACUCCACUAGCCGAGGUUAUGAGUAUGGCUCAAAUCGUGACUGACUGAGUAAUCGGGGUAGGGUGCUUGGGUUGUCAUUCUACUUCGCGUCAAAAGGUUGUGUGACGUAUUGGGUAAAGCUCCGCUAACCGAAAAUAAAUAAUUUUAGGAGUAUGUUGGGCUGAGUAACCGGAGUGGGGUGCUUGGGUUGUCAUCUCUCUUCGCGUCAAAAUGUUUAAUAUAUUCCUAAGUAAAUAAAUAGUAAUAAAAUUUAAAAAAAAAGAAAAAAUAAAAAAAUAAAAAAAAGAAGAAGAAAAAAGUAAGUACUAAUAAAGUUGCACUUCGGGGACUAAAGGAGGAAAUAAUUAAGGUGUCCUAGUAAUUUACCUAAAUAGCAUAACUCAAGUCGAUCUUAAUUUUUGUGUGAAUUAAUUGGAAUAUUUUUUCUGUUUUACUUAAAGUAAGCUUAGAGGUCUCUUUAUUUUUCAUAUGCAUUUUUAACUAAUUUUUAUGAAACUUUGGAGUGGUAUUUCUUUUAUGGCAAAAUCUAGCUUUCACAGUCGAUAGAAACCAUACUUGAGGGCAAGCAUGGGCUAAGUAAGGGGAAUUUGAUAAUACUCUAAAAUGACGUGUUUUUAUAUAUUAAUCAUGUGUUUAUUUUGAGCUUGAGCCUACUAAUUUGAGGUAUUUAUGUCUAUUUAUCUUUUAGGGACUAAAUUGGAGGCGAAAAGUAAAUUCAAGGGAAAAAGCGUCAAUUUGGAGAUCAAAUGGGCCAAUAUGCAACGUGGGACAAAUAUGGUGCCAAAAGUGCGAACAUGGAAGGCACAAGGACUUAAAAGCAAAUAGAAAAGAUUUUAUUUUGGAAGACUCUAUUGUGCCGGUCGUUUAAAACCUAUCAAUAAUUCCCUUGACAAAUACAAUUAUUCAUUUAAUUGGUCACGUCAAUUUGUUCUUCAACACACUGAAUAUGGCAAUUACUAAUUGUUUCGAUUCUUCCAACUAUAUAGAAACAAAGUUUUUAGGCAAAAUGGAAGUUUAAAAUUUUACUUAAACUCAAGCCUGGUGAUAUUUAUAGCAAUAAACCUUUAACCAAAAUUAUAUCUAUGUUUUGUACGAGGUGGUCUAAGUCAAUCCCGACUUUUUAGUGAACGACCUUCUUCGCUAUCCUUAAACCCCGAAUUGCUUUGAGUGUGGGCUUAAACAAAUCGAACCGAAUGCACAGAAUGAAAACAUUUCUUAACUUUCAGUGAAAAUGUUAGUUCUCUCUAUAAAUCGGAAACUAUCACAUUUUCCCAAAAAAUAGAAUUUAUUCUAAAAAAUUUGUCACUACUUUUCCACAGUAAUGGUCGCUAAACUAACUAAAAAUUUGACUAAGGCAAGCGCACCUAUCGAACAGUAGUAUAGUUAUGGUGAGACCGGAAAUAUCGUAUCCAUAAUGACUAAAAGUAUUAGUAAUUACUAUCUUUUUAUUAUCUAGCCUAAGAAUUAAAUGGAUGUUUUUAAACUAAGAUUAACUAUCUAAUUAACUAAGAACACGACAGAGAUUAAAGUUGGAAAAUACUUUUGGAAAACCGAUGGAGAAGACAAUACCCAAGGAAGAAUCCACCUAGACUUCAUUUAUUAAUUCUGAAUUUUAUUCACUUGACUUAAUCCAUAGGAAUCCCUAGCUUAUGUUAAUAUCUCUUUCGAGACUAAAAACAACUAACUCUAGGUUGAUUAAUCGAAAUCUCUUUCUAAUUAAAACCCCUAUUGUCGCAUUAACUCGAUCUAUGGACUCCCUUAUUAUAUUUGACUCUAAUCCGACAGAUUUAUGUCAUCCUAUCUCUAGGAUUGCAUGCAACUCCGCUUAAUUAUAGAAUAUCUACUCUUAAACAGGGACUUUUGCUCCACUAAAUAAGCACAUCAAAACCUGAAUUAAUAUCUUGGAAUAUUAAAGUAAUGAUUAAAACUCAUAAUUAAGAAUAAGACAAGUAUUUAUCAUAUAAUUCAAAUAAUAAUAAGAUCUAUCUUAGGUUUCAUCUCUCUUAGGUAUUUAGGGAGUUUAGUUCAUAACGAUAGGGGAAAACAUCUCAAAAUUGGGAAAAUAACAAAACAUAAGAAACCCAAAAACUUUGGUAGAAAUUGAAUGUAGAUCUUUAGUCUUGAAGUAAUUCCUGCUUCCGAGCUGAUUCCAAUGGCUGUCUUUGAGUAUUUUCUACCUUUCACUCUCUGUGUCCCCCUUGAUCCUCUUCUCGCGUGUUUAAAUAGACUUUGGAAUGCCCAAAAUUGCCCAAAAUUAGCCUUUUCCGAGUAGAAUUAAAAUAGGUCUCGACAGGGACAUGGCCAUGUGGCAUGCCCGUAUAGUGGUUCUCAAGCUGUGUGCAAUUCUGAUAUGGUUUUAAGUCGACACGGCCAUUACACACAGGCGUGUGGUCUGCCCAUGUGUCUCACACGGGCGUGUGGAUUACCAGUGUGGAAGUGUCUAGGCCGUGUGCAACACUGAAAUAAACCUAUAUUUUGUCCGUUUUCGGCCUUUUUCUUGCACUUUUCGCUUUCCUAUUCUCAUCUAGAUAUAAAACAUGAAAUUUACGGAUUAGGAGCAUCAAAUUCACUAAAUCUUAUGAUAAAUCAUCCAAAAAUAUGCCAAGUAUAGGAUUAAAAUAUGUUACUUUUAAGGUUUAUUAUACAGAUUAACAAUACUCUCAAAAUUGUAUAAAUAAUUUAACUUGUAGUCCCUAUUUAUAAAGAAACAGUACAUAAUAUCUAUUCAAAUAAGAUGUAAUCAAAUGAUAAUAUUUUAAUAAAAAAAUAAAAAUUCUACUUGAAGUAGAAUAGGUGGGGGCGGUGGCUUGGCUUAGAAUAUAAUAGUGUUUACCAUCGCUUCCUUUAACUAAGCCUAAUUUGGGCAUUAUUGGGUACUAUUAUUAUAUAUAUAUUUUGAAAUUUUAUUCGACACUUAUAAUUUAUGUAGUUCAAUAUUAUUUUUUAUUUCUCAAAUAUAUCAAUUAAUUAAAACAGUUGUUCUGUAUUAAAAUAUAUUUAAUUACUUUAUUUAAAAAAAUUCAUAAUAAUUAAUUGAUUUUAUUUCUCGCAAGUUAUUUAAUUAUAAUUAAUUAAACAAUAAUUGAAAAAAUGGGCCACCACCUGCUUGCCGCAAAAAACAAAGAAAAUUGAUAUAAAAAACCUUCAUAUCAAACAAUCUUUUCUAAUAAAUUUCUCAAUUCGCUGUGAAUUAGAUCAUGUUUCUGAUUUCUAAUAAAUUUCUUGGUGUUGAUUAUAUUAAAAAAAAGACCACAUAUCAAAUAAAUUUUUCUUAGCAGAAGAUAAAAUAAUUUAUAAUAUCAAUACAUCAAUCAUGUUAAUAAAUAAUAAAUAAUAAAUUAAAGUCAAUGGACAAAUCCACACGAAAAUCAAAACGCAGGGGGAGGAAACUUCCAAUCUAGACUCUGUUGAAUUUUUGGGAUUAAAUUGAAAUUUAAAAGUAUUUAAAAGAAUUCUUGUGUAUGCCUUAAAUUAUUUUUUAUUUAUUUUAUGUAUCACGUUUAAGAUUAUUUAUUUGAUGUAUUAUGUGCUUUUCUUACACAUUUGCUUAUAUGGUUAUAAAAUUUAUAACUUUUAGACAUGGUCACUCCACUCUUACAAGUAAAAUCUAGCUACCCUCUAAGAUCACUUUGUUGAACAAUGCUCACUCACACCGGAUGACAGAAAGGAGGAAAGUUGCCUAUAUGCUACCUCCUCCGGCUGACUUGAAGAAUGCCACGAUCAUAUUUUGGGCACAAGAGCAGUUGAAUGGAAAUUAAGCAAAUCUGUCAACUGAGCUCUACUUAGUUGAUGCUUGUUCUCAAGCACACCUUUUGUUCAAUCAUUCGAGUCAUCUAACAAUAACCCGGAUAAAGUUUUCAUUCCAUGGACUUAUUCAAUUUAAGUAAAGGGAUGUAAUAUCAAUAACAUCUCAACUGACAUUAACUCAAAAAAUAAGUGUAGGAAUCAUCAUGUUUGACUUACUCAAAGAAUUUAUUCUCAUGAAAAUUAAACUAACAUUCAGUUAGACUCGCACACACAUUUCUUUCUUUCUUUUAUCUUUUUCUUUUUUCUUUUGUUUAAGAUAUUGUCGAAUCUUCUAAGGCAAAAUGAGAUCACAACUCAAACAUUCCAUUAUGGUUACACAAUUCAAUAUAUCUCUAAACAAUUAUUUUUCUCUAUUUAUGACACCGUGAUUAGUGUAAUUUAUUGACUUGAAAUAUCACUCGACCUUUUGACGCAAAGUGAGAUGACAAUCUACUGCUCUGCGCAAAAAAUAAAGAAAGUUCAUUAGAGACCAUGUUUCUGAUUUCUAAUAAAUUUCUAGAUUCGCUGUUAAUUUCUGAAGGAGAAUUAGAAAAAAAAGAAAGAAAAGAUUUCAUAUAUCAAACAAACAUUUGUUUGCAGAAGUUAAAAUAAUUUAUAAAAUCGCCACAUCAAUCACAUGUAUAAUAUUAAAUAAAUUAAAGUCAAUGGACAAUAUCCACACGAAAACAGAAACGCUGUCAAGUUUCUUUUGCGUGAUCAAGAUUUGUGUUCUUUUUAAUAUUACCAUGGACAAAUCAAUCAUGUAUUAUAUAAAAUGUUUGGGACAAUAAAUUAAUUUCAUGUCUGUGGGUUUUAUCACUAUAAAUCUUUCUGUUUUCUUAAUAAAAUUGAAGCAACAAUUCUAUAGUUUUCAUCUACAUUUCGCCUCUGAAAUUAUAGUAAAGCAGAGACAAUGAAAGGAACAUUGAUGUUGAGUUGGAUUCUGAUCAUCUGCCUCUCCCAAGUAGCAGUGCGGAGCCAAUACUACUCAGAUACCCUACCAUAUCAUCCCAAGCCACCUAAGGUCACCAAUCUUCACUUCUUUAUGCACGAACAUACGGGUGUUACAGCUGUCGUGCUAACCCAAGCUAACGUCACAAGCAAUAAUUCAUCAGUGACAUUUGCCACCCUAGUUGCCGUUAAUGAUCCCCUCAGGACUGGUCCUGAGCCUGACUCAGAGGUGAUUGGAAAUGUUCAGGGUAUUUCCCUCUUAGCCGGAUCAAAUGCAUCGAGCACGCAGUACAUAGAAUUUGGAUUUAAUACCGGUAAGUUUAACGGCAGCUCUCUAAGCGUAUUUUCAAGGGGAGAACAAGGGCUUGCGGUGGUCGGAGGAAGAGGACGAUUCAUGAUGGCAACAGGGACUGCACUAUUUAACCCUAUCCUUAUAAAUGCCACCAAUGUUAUUAUGGAAUUUAACUUUACUGUAGUUCAUUACUAAGAUGUUAUUUACAGACUCAAUUCUCUUGGAUUGUGAAAAAGUCGUGUGAUUCUGCUCCACUUGGUUAGAAUAAAUGUAUGAGAUUAAAAUUCUCAUACUUCAUCAUUGUACUUUAUUAUUUUAUUACAAAUAAAGAUUAAAUUCUUAGCUACAAAAA
rnacentral:lncRNA from 1 species